rnacentral:tRNA from 1 species
GAUAGCUCAGUUGGUAGAGCAGAGGACUGAAAAUCCUCGUGUCGCUGGUUCGAUUCCGGCUCUGGG